GAAAUGCGAUACGUAAUGUGAAUUGCAGAAUUCAGUGAAUCAUCGAAUCUUUGAACGCACCUUGCGCCCCUUGGCAUUCCGAGGGGCACACCCGUUUGAGUGUCGUGAAAUUCUCAAACCUUCUUGGUCCUUUUUGACCAAAGAAGGCUUUGGAUCUUGGAGGUAUUUUGCUGGCUUUCAUGCAGAGCCAGCUCCUCUUAAAUGCAUUAGUGGGGGGUCCCCUUUGCCGGUCCUCUGACGUGAUAAGCCAUCCAUUUUCUACGUCUUGGAGGAUUUGCUCUGUUUCUUGGGAACCUGCUUCCAACCGGUCUCACAGGAGACGUCGUUCGAGCUCGCCUCGACCCCAUGAACCCUUGACCUCAAAUCGGGUGAGACUACCCGCUGAACUUAA
rnacentral:rRNA from 1 species